rnacentral:rRNA from 1 species
AGAGUUUGAUCCUGGCUCAGGAUGAAUGCUGGCUGUAUGGAUAAGGCAUGCAAGUCGAAUGGGUUCAGGCCCAUGGCAGACGAGGUAGUAACACGUACGAACGUACCCUGAAGUCGGGCAUAUUCCGUCGAAAGACGGUGCAAUUCCCGAUAGUCUCGCAAGAGUAAAGAUUUAUCGCUUCAGGAGCGGCGUGCGUAAUA